AGGGGAAGGUUAGCGUACCAAAACGUGCUGCAGGAUCACCGAAUCAAUUGACUGUGGUGCUUUCCCUGAUUGAUUUUGAACAGAAGGAGUGGCGGACGGACGAAAACACGUAGGUAACCUGCCCAGAAAAGGGGGACACCAUUUGGAAACUGAUGCUAAUACCGCAUAACUGCGUUGUUCGCAUGACCAACGCUUAAAAGAUGGCUUCUCGCUAUCACUUCUGGAUGGACCUGCGGUGCCUUAGCUUGUUGGGGGGGUAACCGCCUACCAAGGCGAUGAUGCAUAGCCGAGUUGAGAGACUGAUCGGUCACUGUGGGACUGACACACUGCCCAUACACCUACGGGAGGCAGCAUUAGGGAAUCUUCCACCAUGGGCGCAAGCCUGAUGGAGCAACACCGCGUGAGUGAAUAAGGGUUUCGGCUCAUAAAGCUCUGUUGUUAAAGAAAAACACAUAUGAGAGUAUCUGUUCAUACGUU
rnacentral:rRNA from 2 species